ensembl:snRNA U6 U6 spliceosomal RNA
GUGCUCACUUCGGCAGCAUAUAUACUAAAAUUGGAAUGAUACAGAGAAGAGUAGUGGCUCUUACACAAGGAAGUCAUGCAAGUUUGUGAAGUAUUCCAUUUUAAA